rnacentral:rRNA from 1 species
AAACCGUUUAGGGGUAAACCUGAGAAACCCGAAAGGUCGAAGGGAGAAAUUCAUUCGCGUUUCGUCGUAGGCGUGGGGCGGGGUCGAGCGACGGGACACGUUCUUCGGAACGGGUCUCGCGCCCUCCGUCCUUCGAACCGGCGGCGAACGCGUGCACUUUUCUCCUGGUAGGACGUCGCGAUCCGUCGGGUGUCGGUCUACGACUUGCGGUGGAGCCCGCCCGUCGUCUCGUACGUACGGACGGACCCGCUCGUUCCGGCCGACUCGCUCGACGGUAUACGUACGGUCGGAGGCCGCUCGUUACACAGGGAGCGUUCGACUCGUCGCAAGCGCGCCACGUGCGUCGGCACGCGGACCCGGUGCCGCGUCCGACCUCUGGUGACUGUUGGCGACGAAGUUCUCGGACAGACCUCUUUUUUUUCGAAGACCGAUCGGCGACGCUAUAGC